CCAGACUUGACAUCCUUGGAAGGCUUCCGAAAGGAAACUGUGCCUUCGGGAACCAAGUGACAGGUGUUGCAUGGCCGUCGUCAGCUCGUGUCGUGAGAUGUUAGGUUAAGUCCUUCAACGAGCGCAACCCUUAUAGUUAGUUGUAUUUUUCUAGCUAGACUGCCCUGGCAACAGGGAGGAAGGAGGGGAUGAUGUCAGGUCAGUAUUACCCUUACGUCUGGGGCUACAAACACGCUACAAUGGCCGGUACAAAGGGCAGCCAAGUCGCGAGACGGAGCAAAUCCCAUCAAAGCCGGUCCCAGUUCGGAUAGCAGGCUGAAACUCGCCUGCUUGAAGUUGGAAUCGCUAGUAACGGUGAGUCAGCACAUCACCGUGAAUA
rnacentral:rRNA from 1 species